rnacentral:rRNA from 1 species
GACGAACGCUGGCGGCGUGCUUAACACAUGCAAGUCGAACGAUGAAGCCGGAGCUUGCUCCGGUGGAUUAGUGGCGAACGGGUGAGUAACACGUGAACAAUCUGCCCUUGACUCUGGGAUAACUGCGGGAAACUGUAGCUAAUACCGGAUACGACACCUUGGGGCAUCCCAGGGUGUGGAAAGAAUUUCGGUCAAGGAUGAGCUCGCGGCCUAUCAGCUAGUUGGGGAAGUAAUGGCUCACCAAGGCGACGACGGGUAGCCGGCCUGAGAGGGUGACCGGCCACACUGGAACUGAGACACGGUCCAGACUCCUACGGGAGGCAGCAGUGGGGAAUAUUGCACAAUGGGCGAAAGCCUGAUGCAGCAACGCCGCGUGAGGGAUGAAGGCCUUCGGGUUGUAAACCUCUUUUAGCAGGGAAGAAGCGAAAGUGACGGUACCUGCAGAAAAAGCACCGGCUAACUACGUGCCAGCCGCCGCGGUAA